UACGGAGGGUGCAAGCGUUAUCCGGAUUCACUGGGUUUAAAGGGUGCGUAGGUGGGUCUGUAAGUCCGUGGUGAAAUCUCCAAGCUUAACUUGGAAACUGCCGUGGAUACUAUAGAUCUUGAAUAUUGUGGAGGUAAGCGGAAUAUGUCAUGUAGCGGUGAAAUGCUUAGAUAUGACAUAGAACACCGAUAGCGAAGGCAGCUUGCUACACAAUCAUUGACACUGAGGCACGAAAGCGUGGGGAGCGAACAGG
rnacentral:rRNA from 1 species